rnacentral:misc_RNA from 1 species
GAUGAAGAACGUAGCGAAAUGCGAUAAGUAGUGUGAAUUGCAGAAUUCAGUGAGUCAUCGAAUCUUUGAACGCACAUUGCGCCCCUUGGUAUUCCGGGGGGCAUGCCUGUUCGAGCGUCAUUUCAACCCUCAAGCUCUGCUUGGUAUUGGGCUCCGUCCUCCUCGGACGCGCCUCAAAGACCUCGGCGGUGGCGUCUUGCCUCAAGCGUAGUAGAAACACCUCGCUUUGGAGUGCAUGGCGUCGCCCGCCGGACGAAACCUUUUGUAUUUUCUCAAGGUUGACCUCGGAUCAGGUAGGGAUACCCGCUGAACUUAAGCAUAUCAAUAAGCGGAGGA